GGUCCGUUGGCCCAAUGGUAAGGCGUCUGACUACGACUACCAACUGUUAAUCAGGAGAUUCUGGGUUCGACCCCCAGGCGGACCU
rnacentral:tRNA from 1 species